rnacentral:rRNA from 1 species
CAGUCGCCGCGGUAAUACGAAGGGGGCUAGCGUUGCUCGGAAUCACUGGGCGUAAAGCGCACGUAGGCGGCUUUCUAAGUCAGAGGUGGAAUCCUGGAGCUCAACUCCAGAACUGCCUUUGAUACUGGAGAGCUUGAGUUCGGGAGAGGUGAGUGGAACUGCGAGUGUAGAGGGGAAAUUCGUAGAUAUUCGCAAGAACACCAGUGGCGAAGGCGGCUCACUGGCCCGAUACUGACGCUGAGGUGCGAAAGCGUGGGGAGCAAACAGGAUUAGAUACCCCCGUAGUCCCUGUCUCUUAUAC